CGUCGUCAGCUCGUGUCGUGAGAUGUUCGGUUAAGUCCGCUAACGAGCGCAACCCUCGCUGUGUGUUACAAGUGUCACACGGAACUGCCGGUCAUAAACCGGAGGAAGGUGGGGAUGACGUCAAGUCAGCAUGGCCUUUAUAUCCUGGGCUACACACACGCUACAAUGGGAAGGGACAAUAGGUUGCGAAGCCGCGAGGCGGAGCCAAUCCAGCAAAACUUCCCUCAGUUCAGAUUGCAGGCUGCAACUCGCCUGCAUGAAGUUGGAGUUGCUAGUAAACGCAGGUCAGCCAUACUGCGUUGAAUACGUUCCCGGGGCUU
rnacentral:rRNA from 1 species